rnacentral:rRNA from 1 species
UUGCGGUUAAAAAGCUCGUAGUUGGAUGUCUGUUGAGGAUGACCGGUCCGCUCUUUGAGCGCGUAUGCUGGUUCAGCCUUGGCAUCCUCUUGGGGAACGCUACUGUGCUUGAUUGCAUGGGGCGGUAUUCAAGACUUUUACUUUGAGGAAAUUAGAGUGUUCACUGCAAGCGUUAGCAAUUGAAUACAUUAGCAUGGAAUAAUAAUAUAGGACCUUGGUACUAUUUUGUUGGUUUCUAGAACUAAGGUAAUGAUUAAUAGGGACAAUUGGGGGCAUUCGUAUUAACGCGUCAGAGGUGGAAUUCUUAGAUUGCGUUACGACGAACUACUGCGAAAGCAUUUGCCAAGGAUGUUUUCAUUGAUCAAGAACGAAAGUAUGGGGAUCGAAGACGCUUAGAUACCGUCGUAGUCUAUACCAUAAACUAUGCCAACUAGAGAUUGGAGGUCGUUCUCUUUAUGACUCCUUCAGCACCUUAUGAGAAAUCAAAGUCUUUGGGUUCCGGGGGGAGUAUGGUCGCAAGGCUGAAACUUAAAGGAAUUGACGGAAGGGCACCACCAGGAGUGGAGCCUGCGGCUUAAU